rnacentral:sRNA from 2 species
AACAAACCUCGGUAGGUGAGGUUACCGAAAGGAUAUGGGUUGCUACCGUAAAAGAAUGGAAACACUCUGAGCUGGUAAGCAAGUUUUGUCGUAAGGCUUAACUUAAUGCAACUUCAGUGCCUUUUAGAGCCAAAACUUGAACGAGAAGAUUAUUU